AUUUACAUGCUAAAAUCGCCACUGGGCAAUCCAGACAGCACUGUGUUGGAUGGAGAGAGUUGACUGUUCAUUUAUAAAGUGACAGUUCUGUGGUGUGACUCGUGAUCCAUUCAGCUGUGAAGGCCAACACACCACCUGAUGUAAGACUUCUAAAUCAAAUGUCAACUCCCUCUAUUAAAGACAAGCUGCUGUACCAAUCAAACUCAGUUAUGAAAGUGCUGUUCAGAAAUACUGAUAUCCAUAGUUGAUUGAAUACAAGUAUUCUCUUCAUAAGCAAUUCAUAAUCAUUGCCUGCUCUUUGCUUCUACUUUGCCUUACACAGAGAACAGGAAAACCCAAUAAACCUGGAGAUAAACACUAGUUAAUGCCAACAGCUGUUGGGAAGUCCAGGAUUGCUACAUAAAUUGUUGGACUUUGGAUUCUUAUUAUAUAACGGGUUGUUUGGAUCCUGGAUGCUGAUUGGUUGAUAGCAGGGAGUUAUUCACCACAAUCUCUGGGUAAUGCCUGUUAACAGUUCUAUUAGAAUGAUCAAUGUGCAUUCAAUAUCCCACAGCCAAGCCAAGAGGGAGGGGGAGAGGAGAUGGAGCGGCAGAGAUGAGUUCUUACCUGCAAUUAAUAUUCAACUAUAUAAGAGUUUACUUUACAGCCUGCAUCAACCAGUUACCGUCCGCCUGCCUCCAGGUGUCAGAGCUGAAGGAGUGACUGCGGCCCAUGCGGGGCUUUUGGCUCUCUCUCCCACACACCAUCUGCAAUGACAAGAACAUGGCCACCGACAUCACCAAUGCGGACCGCUGCUGGAAUGGAGAGACCAGGGGGAGGUUUGCUGUUCACUUGAGCUAUAUGAGAUGGAGGGGAGUUCUAUGCAAUCAUGGCUCUGUAUAAUAUUAUACGUUUCCUUGAAUUUGUUAUGGACCCGGGGACAGUGAAAAUACCCCUGGUGGCAUGUCUGGUGGGGUAAGUGUGUGUGAGUGUGUCAGUGCUGUGUGUAAGUUGACUAUGCAAACAUUUGGGAAUUUCCAACACACUCAUUUUUUUAUAUAAAAACAAGAAGCGAUGCAGUAUCUCCUCUUCUUUUAGCCAAGAGAGACAGACAUGCAUAGUAUUAAUAUUAGCUCUCUGAUUACAAUGAAGACCAAAAAUGUGUAACUGUAACGGUUUUCUUUAGGUGAAGUAGAGGCGGACCAAAAUGCAGCGUGGUUGUUAUUCAUUGUACUUUAAUAAAGAAACUGUACACGAAUAAACUAACAAAACAACAAAUGUGCGAAAACCUAAAACAGUCCUAUCUGGUGCAAAACACAGAGACAGGAACAAUCACCCACAAACACACAGUGAAACCCAGGCUACCUAAGUAUGAUUCUCAAUCAGAGACAACUAAUGACACCUGCCUCUGAUUGAGAACCAUACUAGGCCGAAACAUAGAAAUACCCCAAAACAUAGAAAAACAAACAUAGACUGCCCACCCAACUCACGCCCUGACCAUACUAAAUGAAUACAAAACAAAGGAAAUAAAGGUCAGAACGUGACAGUAACUCUGUUCUGGGCUAGCUGCAGCUCAACUAGGUCCUUCCUUGCAGCGCUUGACCACCUGGCUGGACAAUAAUCAAGAUAAGAUAAAACUAGAGCCUGCAGUAAUUGCUUUGUAGAGUGAGGUGUCAAAAAACAAAGCAUAUCUUUAUCACAGACAGACCUCUCCCCAUCUUUACAACCAUUGAAUCUAUAUGUUUUGACCAUGAUAGUUUAUAAUCUAAGGUAACACCAAGUAAUUUAGUCUCCUCAACUUGUUCAACAGCCACACCAUUCAUUACCAGAUUCAGCUGAGGUCUAGAGCUUAGGGAAUCAUUUAUACCAAAUACAAUAUGCUUAGAUUUAGAGAUGUUAAGUACCAGUUAAUCACUGGCCACCCUUUCCAAAACUGACUGCAACUCUUUGUUAAGGGUUUCAGGGACUUCAUUAGCUGUGGUUGCUGAUGCGUAUAUGGUUGAAUCAUCAGCAUACAUGGACACAUAGGCUUUGUUUAAUGCCAGUGGCAGGUCAUUGGUAAAAUUUGAAAAUAGUAGAGGGCCUAGAGAGUUGCCCUGCGGUACACCACACUUUACAUGUUUGACAUUAAAGAAGCUUCCAUUCAAGAAAACCCUCUGAAUUCAUAAAACAUAUAUUUUCUCAAAAACAAAUUAUGGUCAAUAAUAUCAAAGGCAGUCUAACAGUACAGCUCCCACAAUCUUCUUAUUGUCAAUUUCUUUCAACCAGUCAUCAGUUAUUUGUCAGUGCAGUACAUGUUGAAUGCCUUUCUCCAAAAGCAUUCUGAAAGUCUGUUGUUAAUUUGUUUACAGAGAAAUAGCAUUGUAUUUGGUCAUACACAAUUGGUUCAAACAGUUUGUUAAGAGCUGGCAGCAAGCUGAUAGGUUGGCUGUUAGAACCAGUAAAGGGUUCUUGGGUAGCAGAAUGGAUUCCCUCCAGGCCAGAGGACUAACACUUUUCUCUAGGCUCAGAUUAAAUAUAUGACAGAUAGGAGUGGCUAUAGAGUCAGCAACCAUCUUUGGUAGUUUUCCAUCUGAGUUGUCAAUGACAGGUUUGUCAUUAUUGACAACGUUACAAAAUUCAAAUUUACAGUGCUUUUGUUUCAGUAUUAGUCUUUUAUGCAUGAAUAUGAUGACUCACUGUUAGUUUUUGGCAUUUCCUGCCUAAGUUUGCCCACUUUGCCAAUAAGUAGUCAUUAAAAUAAUUGGCACCACCAAAUGGUUUUGUGAUGAAUAAGCCAUCUGAUUCAAUGAAAGAUGGAUUUGAAUUUGUCUUUCUGCCGAUAAUUUAAUUUAAAGUACUCCAAAAAUAUUUUCCCAACAUUCUUUAUGUCAUCUCAGCCUCCAGUAUUUAUGCUGCAGUAGUUUAUGUGUCGGGGGGCUGGGGUCAGUUUGUUAUAUCUGGAGUACUUCUCCUGUCCUAUUCGGUGUCCUGUGUGAAUCUAAGUGUGCGUUCUCUAAUUCUCUCCUUCUCUCUUUCUUUCUCUCUCUCGGAGGACCUGAGCCCUAGGACCAUGCCCCAGGACUACCUGACAUGAUGACUCCUUGCUGUCCCCAGUCCACCUGGCCAUGCUGCUGUUCCAGUUUCAACUGACCUGAGCCCUAGGACCAUGCCCCAGGACUACCUGACAUGAUGACUCCUUGCUGUCCCCAGUCCACCUGGCCAUGCUGCUGCUCCAGUUUCAACUUCCACCUGACUGUGCUGCUGCUCCAGUUUCAACUGUUCUGCCUUAUUAUUAUUCGACCAUGCUGGUCAUUUAUGAACAUUUGAACAUCUUGGCCAUGUUCUGUUAUAAUCUCCACCUGGCACAGCCAGAAGAGGACUGGCCACCCCACAUAGCCUGGUUCCUCUCUAGGUUUCUUCCUAGGUAUUGGCCUUUCUAGGGAGUUUUUCCUAGCCACCGUGCUUCUACACCUGCAUUGCUUGCUGUUUGGGGUUUUAGGCUUGGUUUCUGUACAGCACUUUGAGAUAUCAGCUGAUGUACGAAGGGCUAUAUAAAUAAAUUUGAUUUGAUUUAUCUUGGCUUCAUAAUACAGUUUCUCUUUUUGUUGAGUUUAGAGGUGGGUGUGGUCCAGGGGGAGGUUGGUGGACCAGGGGAGGUGGGCGUGGACCAGGGGGAGGUAGGUGUGGUCCAGGAGGAGGUGUACCAGGGGGAGGUGGGUAAUCCUGUGUGGCUCACUUGGUAGAGCAUGGCUCAUUAAUAAUUUGUUUUUUAACGGGAGCAGUGCAUUAAGGAAAGGAUUAUGUUUUGUUGUCUGUCAGAAAGCUUACAAUGAAAUAUCAGUGAAACAAUUGAAAAAGUAGAAUAGGAUUGUUACUGGAUCAUUUCACCCUAUCCCACCACACUGCUGUGUUGGACAUCCCAUUCAAAACAUGUAGAACCAGGAACAGAUAUAGCCCUUGGUUCACUCCAGACCUGACUGCCCUUGACCAGCACAACAACAUCCUGUGGCGUACUGCAUUAGCAU